UGCUGGGUUAGCCGAAAAUCAAAGUUUAUCCGGUCCCUGAAAAAUUAGCUUUUUAUGAUUACAUCGGCAAUAAUCCAGAAAGUGGAUCUAUUUCGUUUUUUCUCUUUUAAGAAAAGGAAAAUCUUAUUUCCCGGAUCAUUGUACAUUUCAAUUUUAAUUAGGCAUUCUGUGUCCAACUCUAAGCAGUCCUUACCUACAUAUGCAUCUGAUCAUAUAUGUAUAUUAUCUAUUCC
rnacentral:lncRNA from 1 species